rnacentral:rRNA from 1 species
UACGUAGGUGGCAAGCGUUGUCCGGAUUUACUGGGCGUAAAGGGCGUGCAGGCGGUUUGUUAAGUGCAGGGUGAAAGCUCCCGGCUCAACUGGGAGAGGUCCUUGCAUACUGGCGAACUCGAGGGAGGCAGAGGAAAGUGGAAUUCCCGGUGUAGUGGUGAUAUGCGUAGAUAUCGGGAGGAACACCAGUGGCGAAGGCGGCUCUCUGGGCCUUUCCUGACGCUGAGACGCGAAAGCGUGGGGAGCGAACCGG